GACGUAGGGGGCCAGCGUUGUUCGGAAUUACUGGGCGUAAAGCGUGCGCAGGCGGUUUUGUAAGCCAGAUGUGAAAGCCCCGGGCUCAACCUGGGAAUGGCAUUUGGGACUGCAAGGCUUGAGUGCGGCAGAGGAGACUGGAAUUCCUGGUGUAGCAGUGAAAUGCGUAGAUAUCAGGAGGAAUACCGAUGGCGAAGGCAGGUCUCUGGGCUGACACUGACGCUCAUGCACGAAAGCGUGGGGAGCAAACAGG
rnacentral:rRNA from 1 species